rnacentral:rRNA from 1 species
UACGAAGGGGGCUAGCGUUAUCCGGAUUCACUGGGUUUAAAGGGUGCGUAGGUGGGCAGGUAAGUCAGUGGUGAAAUCUCUGGGCUUAACCCAGAAACUGCCGUUGAUACUAUCUGUCUUGAAUAUAGUGGAGGUGAGCGGAAUAUGUCAUGUAGCGGUGAAAUGCUUAGAUAUGACAUAGAACACCCAUUGCGAAGGCAGCUCGCUACACUAUUAUUGACACUGAGGCACGAAAAGCGUGGGGAUCAAACAGG